rnacentral:rRNA from 1 species
AGCUCGUGUCGUGAGAUGUUGGGUUAACGUCCCGUAACGAGCGCAACCCUUGCCUUUAGUUGCCAGCAGUUCGGCUGGGCACUCUAAAGGGACUGCCGGUGUUAAACCGGAGGAAGGUGGGGAUGACGUCAAGUCCUCAUGGCCUUUAUGACCAGGGCUACACACGUACUACAAUGGCCGAUACAAAGGGCAGCGACACUGCGAGGUGAAGCCAAUCCCGUAAAAUCGGUCUCAGUCCGGAUUGGAGUCUGCAACUCGACUCCAUGAAGUUGGAAUCGCUAGUAAUCGUGGAUCAGCAUGCCACGGUGAAUACGUUCCCGGGCCUU